CCGUGGCUCAACUGGAUAGAGCACUGGAUUUCGGUUCCAGUGGUUACAGGUUCGAAUCCUGUCGGG
rnacentral:tRNA from 1 species